UACAGAGGGUGCGAGCGUUAUCCGGAUUCACUGGGUUUAAAGGGUGCGUAGGCGGGCAGGUAAGUCAGUGGUGAAAUCUCCGGGCUUAACCCGGAAACUGCCGUUGAUACUAUCUGUCUUGAAUAUAGUGGAGGUGAGCGGAAUAUGUCAUGUAGCGGUGAAAUGCUUAGAUAUGACAUAGAACACCCAUUGCGAAGGCAGCUCGCUACACUAUCAUUGACGCUGAGGCACGAAAGCGUGGGGAUCAAACAGG
rnacentral:rRNA from 1 species